rnacentral:pre_miRNA from 1 species
GGGGGGAGCACUGGAUCCUGGGCUCUGUCCCCUGCGCUCUGUGCUCCCAGGCCUGUGCUGUAGGAAUCGCACUCCAGGCGGGGCAGCCCCCU